rnacentral:rRNA from 1 species
GAUGAACGCUGACGGCGUGCCUAAUACAUGCAAGUCGAGCGAACGGACGAGAAGCUUGCUUCUCUGAUGUUAGCGGCGGACGGGUGAGUAACACGUGGAUAACCUACCUAUAAGACUGGGAUAACUUCGGGAAACCUGAGCUAAUACCGGAUAAUAUUUUGAACCGCAUGGUUCAAAAGUGAAAGACGGUCUUGCUGUCACUUAUAGAUGGAUCCGCGCUGCAUUAGCUAGUUGGUAAGGUAACGGCUUACCAAGGCAACGAUGCAUAGCCGACCUGAGAGGGUGAUCGGCCACACUGGAACUGAGACACGGUCCAGACUCCUACGGGAGGCAGCAGUAGGGAAUCUUCCGCAAUGGGCGAAAGCCUGACGGAGCAACGCCGCGUGAGUGAUGAAGGUCUUCGGAUCGUAAAACUCUGUUAUUAGGGAAGAACAUAUGUGUAAGUAACUGUGCACAUCUUGACGGUACCUAAUCAGAAAGCCACGGCUAACUACGUG